rnacentral:rRNA from 1 species
UACAGAGGGUGCGAGCGUUGUCCGGAAUCACUGGGCGUAAAGGGCGUGUAGGCGGCUUGCUAAGCCGCGUGUGAAAGCCCGGGGCUCAACCCCGGAACGGCACGCGGGACUGGCAGGCUCGAGACUGGUAGAGGCAAGUGGAAUUCCUGGUGUAGCGGUGGAAUGCGUAGAGAUCAGGAAGAACACCGGUGGCGAAGGCG